UUGUUACCUGUUAGGAUUCAGACUGUGUACAUAUAUUAUUAUUAACUUAUCAUAAUGGAGACAGACAGGUCAGCUUGGUUUACUUAUGGUGUGCGGCAGUUAUGAUAGGCAGGAAGUUGAGAGUUGGCAGAUAAGAUGGUAGUUCAGGCUCUCUGUCCACAAAUCUUAAGAAAAGAAACAGACUUUUUCUAUACACUUUGUGUAACUGAAAUUACUGAAGAGGCUCACUGCCACCCAAAACCAGCAACACACAUAUAUAAAUGAAAGUGAAGAUGGCCUGAUCAGGAACUGGACUUGGUAUUUGCUCGGUUAUCAAAGCAGAGUUGAGCUUCAGAUCGACUCUAGCUGCGUAGUACGGCACCUUCAGAGUCAGUCCUCUGACGACCAUGCCAAGCAGCCCUUAUCCGCCGUGCCCACCAGCAGUCCGUAUCUGUCACAUUUACAUAAAGAGUAAUCAUGGAGCUGCCUAUUUAGCUAGGAAUAGUCAUUUCCUUUGUAAUGGUUUUCAUUGUAUCGAACCUUCUGAUCCAACUCUUUUGUAAUGAUCGUUUUAUGACCUGAUUGCUUCUUCUCCAUCUCUUAAAAAAAGUAAAAGAUGGCUACUGGUGACUACCUCUUUAGCACCACUGAUUGUCGGGGUUUGAUAUGGACUACGCAAGGCAACAAGUUGAAGGUGUUACCCUUGAAACUUGAAAGAGAAUAUCAUCUAAAGAGGAAAAGGAAGUGAUUAAGCAGUAUUGAAACUUACCAUCGUUUGGCAUCAGGCCUUAGGUGUGGAAGAGAAGAUGUGGUGUAACGGUCCUGGACGGAGUUUCCGACGACUUCACCACGAUUCCGACAGUCGGCUACCCUUAUUAUGUUUUUCACCGUUUGCUGCUAGCUAGGGCCAACUUUGCGUUUGUUCUCAGUGUCAGUCUCCGGUGGAGUCAAAUUUCUUUCGUGGUUUUAAUUUUCGUUUUAUCAUGUAGCUUUGGUUGGGGGGGUAGAGAGUCAGUUUCAGUCUCGGUUGUUAGUUUCUUUCAGUCGUGUGUGGAAAAGAAAAUGCAUGGUGUGAGGAGUUUAAGGACGCAAAGUAUGAAAACUUAAUAGUUAAUUUCUUCUCCCUUACUAUCUGUAUGUGGAAGGCCAUAUCUGAGUCAUCACCCAACCGAGGCGGCGUGGCGCCUUCAUAAGCAGUUGAGUGAGGAUUUUAAUCAUAUUCUGGAUAUUGAAGAAAUUUUCUGGCAUAAAAAAUCUAGGAUCGAAUGGCUUCUUCAUGGUGAUCGUUGCUUGCCUUUCUUUCAUACUUCUACUCAUAUUCGACGAAAACGAAAUAAGAUUGAAGGGCUAAAGCUCGAUGAUGGGAAUUGGUGUUUCGACGAGAGCCGUUUGCAGCAAGAUAUCAUCUCACAUUUCAAGUCUUUGUUCAUGAGUGAAAGUGAUUCGACACGGUCUCUCUCCCUUGAUGGGCGGGUUAACCACUUGACCCGACUGUAUGAGAUCGGUUCUUUGCAUGGAAGUGACAGAGGAGGAGGUUCGACAACCUGUGUUUAGCAUGAAACCGCUUAAAUCACCAGGUCUGGACAAUUUUCCAUCGCUCUUUUAUGAACAUACCUGGCCGCAAAUUAAGGAUAAGGUAUUUUCUUUUGUUAAGGAGGCAAUGCUCACUGGAUGUUUGCAUGAAGAGGUGGCUCGAGUGUCUUUGGUCCUUGUUCCCAAAGUUAAUCACCCUGAGGACUUAUCGCAGCUUUGCCCUAUAUCGCUGCAAUGUGUUGUUUAAGAUUCUGACCAAGGUUAUUACUAUGAGAUUGAGGCCUUUCCUCAAUGAUUUAAUUGGGCCUCAUCAGAGUAGUUUUCUACCUGGCCGAUCAACUCAAGAUAACAUAUUGGUAGCUUAGGAAGUUAUUCAUAGUAUCAAGAAGCGGAGGGGGUGAAAGGCCGGUUUGAUUGAAAGAUUGAUCUUGAGAAGGCCUAUGAUAGAAUUGAGUGAGAUAUCUUAGAGGAUACCCUUCGGGUUUUUGGCUUUCUGGACUUUUGGAGGCAACUUAUUAUGUUUUGUGUCUCAAAGGCUCGGAUUUCGGUGCUCUUAAAUGGAGCUAGUACAGAGGAUUUCGCUCCCUCUAGAGGUCUUCGUCAGGGUGACCCCUUAUCUCCGUAUCAGUUUACUUUGUACAUGGAGAGGCUAUCAGCUUUGAUCAACUCACAAGUGGAGAAGAAGAAAUAGGUUCCUUUGUAGAUUUUUCGCUCGGGUCCUCUUCUUUCAUGCUUAUUUUUUGCCGAUGACCUUUUGAUUUUCGGGAAAGAUAAAUCUGUUCAGGCGGGGUUUAUGAGAAUAGUAAUGAAGCAAUUUUAUUAUGCCUCAGUCCAACAGGUUAAUAAUGGUAAAUCUCUGCUGUUCGGCUUAGAGGGUACUUACUCAUUUUGUUCCGAAG
rnacentral:lncRNA from 1 species